rnacentral:rRNA from 1 species
CGUACACUCCUACGGGAGGCAGCAGUGGGGAAUAUUGGACAAUGGGCGCAAGCCUGAUCCAGCCAUGCCGCGUGAGUGAUGAAGGCCCUAGGGUUGUAAAGCUCUUUCACCGGUGAAGAUAAUGACGGUAACCGGAGAAGAAGCCCCGGCUAACUUCGUGCCAGCAGCCGCGGUAAUACGAAGGGGGCUAGCGUUGUUCGGAUUUACUGGGCGUAAAGCGCACGUAGGCGGACUAUUAAGUCAGGGGUGAAAUCCCGGGGCUCAACCCCGGAACUGCCUUUGAUACUGGUAGUCUUGAGUUCGAGAGAGGUGAGUGGAAUUCCGAGUGUAGAGGUGAAAUUCGUAGAUAUUCGGAGGAACACCAGUGGCGAAGGCGGCUCACUGGCUCGAUACUGACGCUGAGGUGCGAAAGCGUGGGGAGCAAACAGGAUUAGAUACCCCUGGUAGUCCCAUGAU